rnacentral:rRNA from 1 species
GUCGAACGCUGGCGGCGUGCCUAAUACAUGCAAGUCGAGCGGAGCGGCGGACGGGUGAGUAAUGCCUAGGAAUCUGCCUGGUAGUGGGGGAUAACUUCCUGAAACGGGCGCUAAUACCGCAUACUAUCAGAUGAGCCUAUGUCGGAUUAGCUAGUUGGUGGGGUAAAGGCCUACCAAGGCGACGAUCCGUAACUGGUCUGAGAGGAUGAUCAGUCACACGGGAACUGAGACACGGUCCAGAUUCCGACGGGAGGCAGCAGUGGGGAAUAGUGGACAAUGGGGGGAAGCCUGAUCCAGCCAUGCCGCGUGUGUGAAGAAGGUCUUCGGAUUGUAAAGCACUUUAAGUUGGGAGGCGUUACCAACAGAAUAAGCACCGGCUAACUUCGUGCCAGCAGCCGCGGUAAUUC